rnacentral:rRNA from 1 species
GGGAUAACCUUGCGAAAGUAAGACUAAUACCCAAUGAUAUCUCUAGAAGACAUCUGAAAGAGAUUAAAGAUUUAUCGGUGAUGGAUGGGGAUGCGUCUGAUUAGCUUGUUGGCGGGGUAACGGCCCACCAAGGCGACGAUCAGUAGGGGUUCUGAGAGGAAGGUCCCCCACAUUGGAACUGAGACACGGUCCAAACUCCUACGGGAGGCAGCAGUGAGGAAUAUUGGUCAAUGGACGAGAGUCUGAACCAGCCAAGUAGCGUGCAGGAUGACGGCCCUAUGGGUUGUAAACUGCUUUUAUAAGGGAAUAAAGUUAGUCUCGUGAGACUUUUUGCAUGUACCUUAUGAAUAAGGACCGGCUAAUUCCGUGCCAGCAGCCGCGGUAAUACGGAAGGUCCGGGCGUUAUCCGGAUUUAUUGGGUUUAAAGGGAGCGUAGGCCGGAGAUUAAGCGUGUUGUGAAAUGUAGACGCUCAACGUCUGCACUGCAGCGCGAACUGGUUUCCUUGAGUACGCACAAAGUGGGCGGAAUUCGUGGUGUAGCGGUGAAAUGCUUAGAUAUCACGAAGAACUCCGAUUGCGAAGGCAGCUCACUGGAGCGCAACUGACGCUGAAGCUCGAAAGUGCGGGUAUCGAACAGGAUUAGAUACCCUGGUAGUCCGCACGGUAA